rnacentral:rRNA from 1 species
UACGGGGGGAGCAAGCGUUGUUCGGAUUUACUGGGCGUAAAGGGCGCGUAGGCGGCCAGCACAAGUCAGUUGUGAAAUCUCCGAGCUUAACUCGGAACGGUCAACUGAUACUGUGCGGCUAGAGUGCAGAAGGGGCAACUGGAAUUCUUGGUGUAGCGGUGAAAUGCGUAGAUAUCAGGAAGAACACCUAUGGCGAAGGCAGCUCGCUGGGACGGUACUGACGCUGAGGCGCGAAAGCGUGGGGAGCGAACAGG